UUCGCAUUCAGAUCUCGACGGCGCUGAGUAAUAUACCCGGACGAGGGAUAACUUUUUUUCGAUCUUCCCCCGAAUAGGAGAAAGAGAGGGUGCUGUCGGGCGGUUGAAAGUAGAGAGUGAAAGGGAAACGGUGAUCGGUAUUGGCUCGCUAGCGGCGUAUGCUUAUUUUAAUUGAAACAGUCGAACACCACCGCGCGCCACCUUGCUUCCACCCACACCGCCUCGUUGCCUCUUUCUCUAUUCCUCUUAGCCGUCCUCUCCCUCGCCCUCCCCCGCGGAAGGCGACAAAUUCUCCCUCCAUUCUCCCUCCGGCGCCCCUACUCGUGUUAAAACGACCUACCGCCGCGCUCACCCGAGGAUAUUGUUUCAAACGAAUAUGCAAAUCAUGAGCCAACCCAGAACGUGGUCCGCUGUAAUUUCUAUUGCUUCCACCUAGCGGGCGACACAAAUAGAUAUCCUUAACGCUCCCCAGAUCUAAAGGAGAAACGUGCGCCGAAUGUGCUCCGCGCGCGCGAGAGAGAUUCAACUCCUCUCUCUUCCUCUCCCACCCCUCUUUUCUACCCCUUUCUCCUCCUGUCCCGCAACCCCCCAUUCCUCGCGCUAUCAGCGACUACGUACCAGAAUUUCCGCGGCGGGGAAAAGAGCGCAGGCAAUUCUGCUCAAAGAUUACCAUUAAGGGUGUAAACAAUUUUCAUUAAGCCGGGGCAUCGCGUACCCGCCACGCGCCCCUCGACUUUAUCAGUAAACUUCAAGGGCUUCAGAUCGAAGCUGCGCGCUGCAAAGUUAAAAAUUUACACUCCACGCUGGCUGGCAUGCACGUGGCGUGGCGCCGGAAGUGAGAGAAUUUCUCUUUCAUAUCGGCGAACGAGCACUGGAGAUAAGGAGAGCGUGCAAUCACAUAUUCACGUGGAAAGUGUUUGAUAUUGAUCGACAAGUUUCUCUUGUUUUACCAAUAUAUGUAGAGACUACGGAGAACGGUAUGCAACAAAGCAAACUUCAUACGCAAUUCGAAUAAUAUUAAAUAAACGAAUAAAUAUCGGAAUGCUUGAAUUACAAGUUGGACAGAGUGCCUGGCCAAUUCGGAAAAUAUUCCAACGACAGCACGAGAAGUUUCCAGAAUCUACAACAACCUACUAUUUACGGAUCGGUUCUUGCGGGUGACGAGAUUGAUUGCAAAAGUUGUCGAAAGCGUGUCUCGAUACAUAUAGAAUACGGGGCGCUUCUAAUUAUCUGCGAACAAAGAGACGAAACAAGUGGGUCCAUGUCCGUUGAAAAAUCUCGCUGUGCAAGUUAUCGCAAUUUAUACAGCCCAUGAAAUAUUGUUUUUUUUGCACUGACUAUUUUUUAAGAUAAUAACGUUAACAUCAAUGCUACUCCAUUCUAGCACGUGGCUAAUUCCGCCUCUAUUUUUCUCUUACAGCAAGAGUCAACGAAAACUCGUAGUGGCACGGCGACACGGGGAUAUAAUCGGACACUGCUUCUGAAAAUCAGAUUCCCUCAGCUAAGAAGGGAACGAGAUCGAUGUCCUCCAGCCAGUCCGGGGACGCUAACCUCCCCGGCUCCGAAGCCCGGUUAACUAAGUGAGAGAGUGACCCGUACUUUGUUCCCUCGCGCCGCGCCGGCAGGAAUAUAUUGAUAGUCAGCUCAAAACUCCAUUAGGGCCGGCCGGAGUAUUCUCUCAGGGCCGUGACUCGCGACCCACUCCGAGAGUCGCCCGUGUCGUAGAAGAGAGGAGAGUUAGGAGGGAACGGGUCACCCGCCAGCAGAGGGUCACAGCGGGCGAAGGACGAGAGCGGAGAAUAAAGGGAGGACAAGGUGCACGGUGAUGGAAACGUAAGAUGUUAAUGAGGCUGGAGGGUUGGCAUUCCUAGCGGCCUUCCAAGACUUCCAAAGAUUUCUCUCUGGUGACGUCAAGAUUCUAAUCCUCCAAGAGUCUUCGUUCAAUCUCGACGCGCAUGCCUACUCUAGUUUUUCUCAAGCACACAAUGGUGCGCGGUAGCUACCCCUCGUUCUGAAAUUAUUGUUGCUUGGGGUGGAGCAUACAGCGAGGGCGCGGCGUAUCAUCCAACAGAUAUGAUAACCCUCGGCUAUGGGUUGGUUCGACGCAACGGACCAAUAACGCUCCACGGUGUUUCAUUCAUAACCAUAUCAUAAGCAUAGCACCGCCCAUCGAUGAUAAUUCUCUCUUGCGUGUUACAAAACUGUAUUUCUUAAAUUUUACUUGUAGUUGCUGCAAACCUCAAUAUUUUUAUUUAUUCGUCAUAUGUAUAUAUCUCUUUUUAUAAAACAUAUUUCGAUUAGGCUUCUUUAAUUGGCUUUCAUUAAUACGAAAAUUUAAUUUACUCAUUUUAACUUUAAUGUAAAAAUAUGUGAUAUUCAACUUUUUAUAUUUUUUGUUAAUAUAAAGUAGGAAUCUCGUGCAUGUUCUAUGUAUAUGCGAAAGUAAGUCUAACAAGUAGAGCGAUAGUCUCACCCAACCUUGCCAAUUGCUAAAAUCGAAAUCAAUUUUCGAGAUUCUCUUUUUCAAAACGGAAGAAAAUGAGAAGGAGAAGAAAGAGAGAGAGAGAAAGCCUAAUCGUAAUCGGUACAAAAGUCUUCGUAUUACAAUUUUCUGAGAGUUCAAGAAGAUUGCGAACGUCAGGUACAGCAGAACGCUUAAGACGUUUGAGGAGCAAUGAGGGGGUGAAUUGCGGUGAAAACGUUAGGUCGAAGCAAAGGGGAUAUUCGGGGGUGGAAGGACGGAGGGGGAGAGGGGUUAAACCAAGAGAUAGAGGGUAGCUGUCACAACCACGCCAGCCGUUACUUCUGCUCCGGUAAAUUCUGUGCUCGCUAGAACAUCGAAUGAUGUUCUGCCGGUUCGUCUGCCUGCGAUCGGUUUCUCUGAUGCUUUAACGAAUACUUUAUCUUCCUUUUUCUCCUCGUCAUGGCGUCACGAAGUUACACAUACGUCUGAUAUUUUUCGUGAGAGAUCAUACGCAGCAUCGAGAAGAAGAAUAAAAUUACAAUCAUAAUGACACGGAGAAAAAUCACGCGUUGGCACGAUAUGAAAUCUUGAAUACGUAUGAAAUCCUCCGCCGACCGCGAACGAGCAUUCGAGAAGCAGGAGAAGCGAAGACGGCACACCGCGGGGGAAAAUUGCGGCGCGAUCUGUUUCAACCGUGGAUAUCAACCCCGCAUCAUCGCCCACGAGAGCGUU